UACGGAGGGUGCAAGCGUUAUCCGGAUUUACUGGGUUUAAAGGGUACGUAGGCGGUUAAAUAAGUCAGAUGUGAAAUGCCCGAGCUCAACUUGGGAGCUGCAUUUGAAACUGUUUAACUUGAGUUAAGUGGAAGUACAUGGAAUGCAUCAUGUAGCGGUGAAAUGCAUAGAUAUGAUGUAGAACACCAAUAGCGAAGGCAGUGUACUAUACUUUAACUGACGCUGAGGUACGAAAGCGUGGGUAGCGAACAGG
rnacentral:rRNA from 1 species